UAUUACUAUCUUUUUUUCGGAGGAGUUCUAAUGCAUGUUGGACCUUUCUAAUCGACUCAUGCAUGAACAGGCCACAAAAGCCUCUUCAAGGGGAAAGCAGGUGAUUGAAGGUUGCUCCACAGUGUGGAGCUAGAGACUCACUUAUUGGUCUUCUGCAUUUGAGUGGGAGGAGAGAAAAAAAAAAAACAUCCUGUAUAAAAGCCAACAUCUCUGUGAGAGGAGCUACCACAGGCAUCAUUGGAGACAUCAGGGACUCUCUUACCUUGACCUACGCACACGUGCUGCAAUGAGUGAGAAACAAAUAUCGACAACCAUCAUUGGGAACAAAGCAUCGGCGGGCCAAGAUGAAAAGAAGAGCAACCUCCCUGAAGACUUCGAUAUUGAUAUGGACAACCCGCAAACAGAGAAGGCCGCCGUGGCCAUCCAGUCGCAGUUUAGGAGAUUCCAGAAGAAGAAGCAGGAUAUGAAGUCAUAGAAGUGGCAAGGCUUGCUGGUUCCUCACAUCUGCAUGUAUAUCAAACUGCACCAUCCUGAAUUCAAACAGAGGGGUACAGAACUUGAAUUUGAGCUCAUCCAUUUUUGGAAUCAGUGUAUUAUUGUAUGUAAUACUCAAUUGAUGAUCACAUUCCAGAUGUAGUAUCGCACAGAUAUUUUUGUCUUGUGUUUUUGGAUCAUUACAAUAAAGAUCCUCAUGUUGCUGUCAAUGUAAGGCACCAAUUUUGUUCAAAUUCACAUUAAGCCCAUCCAAAUUCUCCAUGUUCAAGUCUCGCCAGAUGUGACAUCUCCAGUCUUUUUUUUAAAGCAUCAUCAUCAAGGUCAUUCAUGCCAAACACAUUGGGGAACAGCCAUUUUAUUAAGCAAAUUUGAAUUUUGUGUUAGUUUAUCUUUAUUCCAGUGCCACCACGGUGAACACCGAUGUUAAAAAAUAAAAUGUGACAUUGUUUGUUGUUAAAAACAAAACAUCAGAACGAAGACAGGAAUGAAGCGAAUCAUAGAAACCGACCAAAAAAAAAAAAAAAAAAAAACCCUCACAGAAGAACGAGUAAUAUAUUCUUCUCCCUUCAGCAAAAAGCGUUAAGGAACAGAAAGUCAAAACGCGCCAGGGUAGCCCACAAAAUAAAGCAAAAAAAA